GACGAACGCUGGCGGCGUGCUUAACGCAUGCAAGUCGAACGGAAAGGCCCCCUUGUGGGGUACUCGAGUGGCGAACGGGUGAGUAACACGUGAGUAACCUACCCUUGACUUUGGGAUAACUUCAGGAAACUGGGGCUAAUACCGGAUAGGAGCUCCUGCUGCAUGGUGGGGGUUGGAAAGUUUUGGCGGUUGGGGAUGGACUCGCGGCUUAUCAGCUUGUUGGUGGGGUAGUGGCUCACCAAGGCUUUGACGGGUAGCCGGCCUGAGAGGGUGACCGGCCACAUUGGGACUGAGAUACGGCCCAGACUCCUACGGGAGGGAGCAGUGGGGAAUAUUGCACAAUGGGCGGAAGCCUGAUGCAGCAACGCCGCGUGCGGGAUGACGGCCUUCGGGUUGUAAACCGCUUUCGCCUGUGACGAAGCGUGAGUGACGGUAAUGGGUAAAGAAGCACCGGCUAACUACGUG
rnacentral:rRNA from 1 species